rnacentral:rRNA from 1 species
AAUGAACGCUGGCGGCGCGCCUAAUACAUGCAAGUCGAGCGAGAAGACGUAGCAAUACGUUUGUAAAGCGGCGAACGGGUGAGGAAUACAUGGGUAACCUACCCUAGAGUGGGGAAUAACUAGCCGAAAGGUUAGCUAAUACCGCGUACGCUCCUUGGACUUCGGUUCAGGGAGGAAAGCGAUACCGAGGGUAUCGCGCUCUUGGAUGGGCUCAUGUCCUAUCAGCUUGUUGGUGGGGNGAUGGCCUACCAAGGCGACGACGGGUAGCCGGCCUGAGAGGGCGACCGGCCACACUGGGACUGAGAUACGGCCCAGACUCCUACGGGAGGCAGCAGUGGGGAAUAUUGCGCAAUGGGCGGAAGCCUGACGCAGCGACGCCGCGUGGGGAUGA